rnacentral:rRNA from 1 species
AGAACGAACGCUGGCGGCAGGCUUAACACAUGCAAGUCGAACGGUUGUAGCAAUACAGCAGUGGCAGACGGGUGAGUAACACGUGGGAACCUUCCUAGGGGUACGGAACAACUCAGGGAAACUUGAGCUAAUACCGUAUACGUCCGUGAGGAGAAAGUUUUAACGCCCCUAGACGGGCCCGCGUAGGAUUAGGUAGUUGGUGGGGUAAUGGCCUACCAAGGCGACGAUCUUUAGCUGGUCUGAGAGGAUGAUCAGCCACACUGGGACUGAGACACGGCCCAGACUCCUACGGGAGGCAGCAGUGGGGAAUAUUGGACAAUGGGCGCAAGCCUGAUCCAGCCAUGCCGCGUGAGUGAUGAAGGCCUUAGGGUUGUAAAGCUCUUUCAGUGGGGACGAUAAUGACGGUACCCACAGAAGAAGCCCCGGCUAACUUCGUGCCAGCAGCCGC